rnacentral:rRNA from 1 species
GACGAACGCUGGCGGCGUGCCUAAUACAUGCAAGUUGAGCGAUGAAGAUUGGUGCUUGCACCAAUUUGAAGAGCAGCGAACGGGUGAGUAACGCGUGGGGAAUCUGCCUUUGAGCGGGGGACAACAUUUGGAAACGAAUGCUAAUACCGCAUAAUAACUUUAAACAUAAGUUUUAAGUUUGAAAGAUGCAAUUGCAUCACUCAAAGAUGAUCCCGCGUUGUAUUAGCUAGUUGGUGAGGUAAAGGCUCACCAAGGCGAUGAUACAUAGCCGACCUGAGAGGGUGAUCAGCCACAUUGGGACUGAGACACGGCCCAAACUCCUACGGGGAGCAGCAGUAGGGAAUCUUCGGCAAUGGACGAAAGUCUGACCGAGCAACGCCGCGUGAGUGAAGAAGGUUUUCGGAUCGUAAAACUCUGUUGGUAGAGAAGAACGUUGGUGAGAGUGGAAAGCUCAUCAAGUGACGGUAACUACCCAGAAAGGGACGGCUAACUACGUG